GGACACCCGAGGGAACAGUCUCGCCUUUACUCGGCUCAGAUGCACUUACACUGUCAUAUAGCGGCCCCGUCGGCCAGCGGUUACCGGCGCAGAAGGAAACUGCAAUUGAACACAAAUGAGUCUGCUAGAAGCUACAUGAAGGCAGAGGAUGCACAGAGAGUGAUACUGAGCCCUGUUCCCUCCCCUGACACCCAAGGACAAUGUACUUGCUCACCAGUGGACCCUGUGGAUGAAGCUAGUGGAGCUAAUGGAAAGAAUGCGUUGAAUCAAGACCAAAGAUAUUUUUAACAAACAAACCAACAAACAAAAAAGAUCCAACAAGAGAAUGAGCUGUCCUGCCUCAUGACCUGAUGUGGGCUGGAGUUGGAGGUGAACUGAAGAGUGCACGUCUGCUCAGGGUGGCUGCCCACAUCCUGUUCGUCAGCAUCACCUGAUCGCUCAGCAGAGAGAGGCAGGGGCCCUGCCCAGAGAGGCCCAGCACCCGCAGGGCAACACCCUCACCAGGGGCCUACGGCGGACCCCACUUAGGGCACAUCAAAGAGGGUG